UACGUAGGCAGCAAGCGUUGUUCGGAAUUACUGGGCGUAAAGAGUGUGUAGGCGGUGCUCUAAGUUCGGUGUGAAAUCUCCCGGCUUAACUGGGAGGGUGCGCCGGAAACUGGAGUGCUCGAGCGUGGGAGAGGAAAGCGGAAUUCCUGGUGUAGCGGUGAAAUGCGCAGAUAUCAGGAAGAACACCCGUGGCGAAGGCGGCUCUCUGGGACGGUACUGACGCUGAGACGCGAAAGCGUGGGGAGCGAACAGG
rnacentral:rRNA from 1 species